UUGGGUCAAUAUUCGGACUUAUCCAGUUCCGACAGUUAUGAGCCCGGGUUAGCUACCUAUCACUAAUACUUAUAUCUAUAUCUUAUAUCUAUCUUGAUAUCUAUCCAUACCGACCUCCUUAUUGGCACAGAUAUCUAUUUGAUUAUAUCUACCUAUCCGAUUCUACCGACCUUCUUAUCGGCGAUAAUAUCGGCAUAUUCUAUAUUCUAUCAAUUCUAUAUCGAUCCUAUAUCUGCUUGAUCUAUAAUAUCAACUGAUUUGUUGAUUUCCUAUAUUGACAUUAUUCUAUCAAGAUGGCAACAGAAAUUAGUCCAUUCAAAUCAGCAAUUAUCUUGAAUACUUCUAAGAACUGAAACCUUUAGUACCAAUUGAUACUAUCACUUGCCUUACAAUUGAAUGUACUGAAGCUUGUUGAUGAUGAAGAACCUGAUUAAAUUGAGUAUCUAUCAAUGCCUACUUUCUCAGAUGUUUCUAAUAAGUAUACUCUAGAAGUGAAAAUUGCUUGGAAGAUGCAGCAAG
rnacentral:sRNA from 1 species